GACGAACGCUGGCGGCGUGCUUAACACAUGCAAGUCGAACGGAAAGGCCCUGCUUUUGUGGGGUGCUCGAGUGGCGAACGGGUGAGUAACACGUGAGUAACCUGCCCUUGACUUUGGGAUAACUUCAGGAAACUGGGGCUAAUACCGGAUAGGAGCUCCUGCUGCAUGGUGGGGGUUGGAAAGUUUCGGUGGUUGGGGAUGGACUCGCGGCUUAUCAGCUUGUUGGUGUGGUAGUGGCUUACCAAGGCUUUGACGGGUAGCCGGCCUGAGAGGGUGACCGGCCACAUUGGGACUGAGGUACGGCCCAGACUCCUACGGUAGGCAGCAGUGGGGAAUAUUGCACAAUGGGCGGAAGCCUGAUGCAGCAACGCCGCGUGCGGGAUGACUGCCUUCGGGUUGUAAACCGCUUUCGCCUGUGACGAAGCGUGAGUGACGGUAAUGUGUAAAGAAGCACCGGCUAACUACGUG
rnacentral:rRNA from 1 species